rnacentral:rRNA from 1 species
UGGGGAAUUUUGGACAAUGGGGGAAACCCUGAUCCAGCCAUCCCGCGUGUGCGAUGAAGGCCUUCGGGUUGUAAAGCACUUUUGGCAGGAAAGAAACGUCGCGGGUUAAUACCCCGCGAAACUGACGGUACCUGCAGAAUAAGCACCGGCUAACUACGUGCCAGCAGCCGCGGUAAUACGUAGGGUGCAAGCGUUAAUCGGAAUUACUGGGCGUAAAGCGUGCGCAGGCGGUUCGGAAAGAAAGAUGUGAAAUCCCAGAGCUUAACUUUGGGAACUGCAUUUUUUAACUACCGGGCUAGAGUGUGUCAGAGGGAGGUGGAAUUCCGCGUGUAGCAGUGAAAUGCGUAGAUAUGCGGAGGAACACCGAUGGCGAAGGCAGCCUCCUGGGAUAACACUGACGCUCAUGCACGAAAGCGUGGGGAGCAAACAGGAUUAGAUACCCUGGUAGUCCACGCCCUAAACGAUGUCAACUAGCUGUUGGGGCCUUCGGGCCUUGGUAGCGCAGCUAACGCGUGAAGUUGACCGCCUGGGGAGUACGGUCGCAAGAUUAAAACUCAAAUGAAUU